AUGCGGGGCCGCGCUUCCCCCUCCACCAGCCCGAGGGCUGAGGGCAGCGCCGGCAGGAAGCGACCCGCAGGGUCCGGGUGGUGGAGACGUGUCCUGGGCGCUGAGAUCCGGACCGUACGCGGGGCCCGGGCGAGGCCUGGGCCACUGGUUCACGCCCCUUCGUCCCCACUGGGGAGCCGACACGACGGGAGGGACCCACGCGCAACCGCCGGUGCCCUGGGCCAGCCCAAAGCAAACCACACCGGCGCGCGCCCCAUGAGGCCCGCGCCCCAGGUGCGCCGAGGCCUCCGAAGGUGGGCGCGCGCGGUGCCCAGACCCUCCGGGACCCCGAGUCCCGGGCGGACUCCGGGCGCCUUUUCUGCCACUCGAGCGGCCCGCGGAGACGCCCGGCCGGGCGGGGGAGUCGCGAAGUUUGCGAGACGCGCGCAGCGCAACGGCGCGUCCGGCGCGGGGACCGCCCGUGACCCGGGCACCCGCGCGCCCCCGAAGAGCCAGCGCGUGGGCAGCGCCCUGUGCGCGGCCCGGGAAGGGACCGGGUGCCCACGCCGGGGUCGUCGCUCCGUGGGGCCGUUUGCAGCCGGUUCCGCGCGCUCGGGGCAGGGGCGCGCCCGGGCCAGGGGGGACCCCUCGCCGCGCCGCCCCGGCCCCCCGCCGGCCCAGGGGAGGGGGCUUCCCACAAUGCCCAGCGAGCUCCACCCGCACUUCCGCCGUCCGGCCGCCCGCGGGGGGGGGACAACGGACCCCCGGCGCGGCCCCCUGCGACCCCGCCGCGCGGCGCCCGGGGCCGAGCGAGGGGCGGGGGCCGGCGGCCGAGCCGGCGUGGGCGGGGCCCGGGGCGGUGGCCGCGGCCGGGGCGCGGCACGGGCCAAUCAGCGGCAGCUGGGCGCGCGCCGGGGGGCGGGGUCAGGGUCCGCAGGCGGGGCGCGCGCGCGCGCGGGCGGCGGGGGCCGCGGGGUUGGAGCGGGCGCGGGGGCGCGCGCCGGCCUGACGGACCGACGGACGAACGGACGGACCGAGCAGCCCCGGCGAGCGCGCAGCUCGGACCCGCCCGGACGCAGCGCCCGCCCGGCGGCGGCGGCGAUCACCGGCGCCUGGCCGGCGGCCGCGGCGCCCGCCCUCGCCCGCGCGCCCCAUGGGGUCACAGGUAAGCGGCGCCGGCUCAUUGUCCGCUUGGCCGGGCGGGCGCAUCGCGGCGGGGGCCGGGCCGGGCGGGAGCCGGAGCGGGUAGCCCGGGCCGCUGCGAGCCCGGGCGCGCCCCCGCCGCCGGCCGCCCCGCCACGCCCCGCCCCGCGGGGGCGCCCUCCCGGGGGUCAUCGGCGCGCCCGGCUGCGUUGCGGGCUCCGGGGGCGGUGGAGGAGACCCCGGCCCGGCCCCCGCGGGUUCCUCCCAGGCCGGCGGCGCGGGGCGGGGCGCGCGGGGGCCGCGCGGGGUCCCCGCGGGGCUGAGCACGGAGGCGGCGGGGCUGCCCCGGCCCCUCGGCCCCCGGCACCUCCCGCCGCCGCUGCCGCGCGCCCUCCUCGGCACCUCCGAAAGGGGAAUUUUCCAGCUGGUAAUUUCUGCUGCGUCAACGCCUGGCCCCGAGGCAGCCCGGGGGCGUCCCCACGCCCCCCGGCCGCGCCCCCCGCCGGCGCUGCCCGGCCGCACCCGGAGCCGCCCGCGCCGAGUUUGCCAAGAGUCGGAACUGCAGGCGGUGGGCGCGGGCGGGUCCGAGCGCCCCGGGGCGGGGGGUCAUUGUCUCCUGGGCGCCGGACGCGGGCCUGGUCUCCAUCUUAA
ensembl:lncRNA